rnacentral:tRNA from 1 species
UCAGGAAUGGUGUAACGGUAGCACGACGCACUCUGGAUGCGUUAGUCCUGGUUCGAAUCCAGGUUCCUGAG